ACAAAACCACAGAAGAAAAUGUUUCACAUGUUCUUUUUGUGCUGGUGGAGUCUGACUGGUGUGUUUGGUGACUCAGUGUCAGUGAUGGAGGGAGAUUCUGUCACUCUAAACACUGAUGAUACUGAAAUACAUGAAGAUGAUGACAUACUGUGGAAAUUUGGAGUGGGAAUGUCUCUGAUAGCUGAAAUUAGGAAGAUCCUGGAAUCUUCAACACAUCUGAUGGUCCUGAUGGGAGAUUCAGAGACAGACUGAAGCUGGACAAUCAAACUGGAUCUCUGACCAUCACAAACAUCACAACUAAACAUGCUGGAGAUUUUAAACUGGAGAUAAGUGGAGCUAAACGGUCAUCAAAAACAUUCAGUGUUUCUGUCAAUGCUCGUCUGACUGUUCCUAACAUUACCAGAGACUGUUCUUCAUCAUCAUCAUCAUAUUGUUCAUUGUUGUGUUCAGUGGUGAAUGUGAAUGAUGUGAGUCUCUCCUGGUACAAAGGAAACAGUUUAUUGUCCAGCAUCAGUGUGUCUGAUCUCAGCAUCAGUCUCUCUCUACCUCUGGAGGUGGAAUAUCAGGAUAAAAACACCUACAGCUGUGUGAUCAACAAUCCCAUCAGCAACAAGACUCAACGUCUGGACAUCAGCAAACUCUGUCACACAUGUUCAGAUAAGGACCUACCUGUAUUGUACAUAGUGUUGAUUUCUGCUACUGCUGGAUCUCUGUUGAUUGUAGCUGUAGCCGAUCUUUUGGAUCUGCAAGAAAUGCACAAAAACUGAUCAAAAAG